rnacentral:rRNA from 1 species
UACGUAGGGGGCUAGCGUUGUCCGGAAUCAUUGGGCGUAAAGCGCGCGUAGGCGGCCAGAUAAGUCCGGUGUGAAAGUCACAGGCUCAACCUGUGAAUGCCGCUGGAAACUGUCUGGCUAGAGUCCGGAAGGGGCGAGUGGAAUUCCUGGUGUAGCGGUGAAAUGCGUAGAUAUCAUGAGGAAUACCAGAGGCGAAGGCGGCUACCUGGACAAUUGCUGACGCUCAGGCACGAAAGCGUGGGGAGCAAAAGGG